UGGGGAAUAUUGCACAAUGGGCGCAAGCCUGAUGCAGCCAUGCCGCGUGUAUGAAGAAGGCCUUCGGGUUGUAAAGUACUUUCAGUCGGGAGGAAGGUGGUAAGGUUAAUAACCUUAUCAAUUGACGUUACCGACAGAAGAAGCACCGGCUAACUCCGUGCCAGCAGCCGCGGUAAUACGGAGGGUGCAAGCGUUAAUCGGAAUUACUGGGCGUAAAGCGCACGCAGGCGGUUUGUUAAGUCAGAUGUGAAAUCCCCGGGCUCAACCUGGGAACUGCAUCUGAGACUGGCAAGCUUGAGUCUCGUAGAGGGGGGUAGAAUACCAGGUGUAGCGGUGAAAUGCGUAGAGAUCUGGAGGAAUACCGGUGGCGAAGGCGGCCCCCUGGACAAAGACUGACGCUCAGGUGCGAAAGCGUGGGGAGCAAACAGG
rnacentral:rRNA from 1 species